CCUACGGGAGGCAGCAGUGAGGAAUAUUGGUCAAUGGACGAUAGUCUGAACCAGCCAAGUAGCGUGCAGGAUGACUGCCCUAUUGGUUGUAAACUUCUUUUAUAUGGGAAUAAAACGUUCCACGUGUGGGAUUUUGUAUGUACCAUAUGAAUAAGGAUCGGCUAACUCCGUGCCAGCAGCCGCGGUAAUACUGAGGAUCCGAUCGUUAUCCGGAUUUAUUGGGUUUAAAGGGAGCGUAGGUGGAUUGUUAAGUCAGUUGUGAAAGUUUGCGGCUCAACCGUAAAAUUGCAGUUGAAACUGGCAGUCUUGAGUACAGUAGAGGUGGGCGGAAUUCGUGGUGUAGCGGUGAAAUGCUUAGAUAUCACGAAGAACUCCGAUUGCGAAGGCAGUUCACUGGACUGCAACUGACACUGAGGCUCGAAAGUGUGGGUAUCAAACAGGAUUAGAUACCCCAGUAGUC
rnacentral:rRNA from 1 species